rnacentral:lncRNA from 1 species
UCAACCUGAAGCAAUGGAGAAAUGAAAAGAAAAAUAAGUCAAAAGAAGUAAAAAAUACUGCAAAGUUACCAAGACUUGUUCUUGACUUGACUUUUCUUAUUUUUCUUCUUGUUAUUCACAUUCUUCUACUGGUUUUUAUGCUUCUUGUUCUGAUACUGAUACUUUUGCUCUUCCAUAUUUGUAACUGAACCUACCAACAAUAAGUCGUCAGCAUUUACUCUUUCUGCAGAUUCAACACUCACUGCCACCAAAUUUUCCAGUGAGUAAAUAUACUAUUUACUCCCUCUUUCUUUCUGUUUCUCUCGUGUUAGAUUCAAGAUUUGAAGUUUAUUCGUAGUAGUUGGUAGUAUAGAUAAAUUUAUGAUCUGAACCUUAUGAGUUUGUAUAGGUUGAUGCUUUUUUAUUUGUAGGAACGUAUUCAAGACAUGACCUUUAUCGCUUUAGAAUGCCAUUUUUUAUAUAUAUGUAAUAGAUUUCUUAACACGUACACAAGAUUUGAACUAUAAGUAUUGUUCCAGCCUGAAGUCAAACAUUACUUUUUUUUAUAUAUAUAUACAAAAUUUUCAACACACUUAGUGAAAUUACUGACUCCAAUUCUGUUUGUAAAGUUUAGAGCUUUUUAGUUGUUAUAUACAUAGCAUAUCCUUGAAUUUUUUUUUUUUCUUGUUUUGGACUAUAGGAAUGGAAAGUAGUUGCUUCAGUUUGGCUCAGUGGCAAGAACUUCAACUACAAGCUUUAAUCUACAAACAUAUGUUAUCUGGUUUGUUCCUCCUGAACUACUUCAUCAUAUCAAGAAAAGUCUCAUUAAUUCAUCUCCUUAUUAUAAUUUGCCUCUAACAAUUUCAACAAUAUCAUUAUUAUCAACAAGCUUGUAAGUUUUCUAAUUAUUUAUAAAUAUAUCUUUAAUUACAAUAGCCUUUCUAUCGGAAACAACCUCUCUACGUGAUCACAUCGAGGUACUGGUACGAACUACGUACACUCAAUGGGUCCCAGACCCCACUUUGGUGGGAAUACACUAGGUAUGUUGUUGUUGUUGUACAAUAGUUAUUGACAAGUCGAUCUGUUUAUAAUAAAACUAUACGCCCUCGAGCUCUAGUUUUCAAUUUCUUCACAGUAGUUUGUAAAGAAAGAUCUGUAUGUCAAUGAAUUUACUAAGCUUGACAAACCAUGUUGUUCUAAUUUGCCAAAAAUAUUAUCGCACCUAUGUUGGAUAUACAUUUAGUGGUAGUAAUCGUAAACAGUGGAGGGUAGCCAGGUGAACACCAUUUUCCCUGAAAUUAAUACUGUGCAUCUAGAAAAAUAUACCAAGUAUAUACAAAAAAUACGAAAUUUGUGCCCUUAAGAAGGUCGAGAACUACGAGCAGAAGUUGAAUAGCCUCUACAGAGAGCACAUACAUGCAGAUGAGGACAUAUGUUAACAGUUUGGAAGGGACAAUGAUGAUCACUAAAUUCACAUCUGGAUAUAUGAAGGCUGGUGAUCUGAUUGUUCUAAGGGACCUAAAUCUUUGUACACUUCUGUCUUAAAGCAAGUCACAGUUUCGAUGUAUUUUGACUUUCCAUUUUGUGGUACUUAUCUUUUGUCAUGGAGUAGAAGACUCAUAAAGAUCAACAAAGUGGAACUUGGAUGAGAUGAAUCAAUUCUGUCAAGUUGCGAAUUUUAGGAUGUUCGCCCAAUAUAUCAUAAAACUGCACGGAAACAACUAUAAAAGAUAAAGGUCUAUGUACAUUCUAUCCUCUCCAGAUCACACUUAAAUAAUUUAAUUGCCUUCUUGCUUCACUUUGACAAUCCCCACAAAUUGUUUAACUUAUUUCGAUGUUACAUGGAAAUGGUAUUACAUUUGCUUACAUGUGUAUCUCCAUUGCAGCGUGACUCUUGUUUGUCUAACUUUAGGUUGACAAGAAAAUUAGAUACAGUUUAGUGUUUCAGCAUAAGUAUAUAUUUUCUGGUGAUUUAAUUUAUCCGACAAAAUUUGCAACUUUCAGGUGAUUUAUCAAGGAACAUUUUAUGAAUGAUGUUGAAUUCUUUGAUGUUACUGUGAUUUUAUAGUAAAGAUACAAGGUUGAAGCUCGAGGACUUGGAAGCUGUAGCGCGAAAGGCUGAAAUUCAAGGAUGUGAAGUCUGUAGUGCCGAAAACAAAUUGCAGUUUUUCUUUCCGGAUAUUCUGGCCUUGCACUUUUUCAGUUACUAUGCACAUCUAAAUGGGGCCACUUUUGUACAAUGAAAUUGCACGGGCACUGACCAUCUAGUCUAGUAUAUAAGAGACAAUAAAUUUUUUUGGUCGUCCUCACAACCAAAGAUUUUUGCAUCUUUGACGAAUCAUCUUGGUACACAUGGAUAACCAUUGACUUUUGUCAUUUUUCAAUUUUAUAUUCAUUCCUUUUCAUUAAAUUCAUUUAACGUGACAUCAAUAAUUGGUGUAGUCGGAAUUGUAUUAUUUUUCUUCAUUUUAUUUUAUGUGACAUUUUUUAAUCGUUUAAAA